UCUCUCUCUCUGUCUCCCAUGAGUAAAUAAAUAAAAUCUUUUUAAAAACCAAAACAGGGAUCCCUGGGUUGGUUUUAAAUCCUAGAAAAGUGUGAUUAUAUCUAGUGACUGUCAAAAACAAGACAAUUCCAUUGUCAGUUAUAUAAAUUUAUGUGUGUAUAUGCCAUUGGAAUCAUUCCUCAGAAACCAAAGUGUACAAAGGUAGGUAAAUGUAUAAUGACAAAAAUAAUUUUUAAUGGUGAACUCUAUUAGAAACUAUUAGAGUACUGGGUAAGUGGGUAAGUCAAUUAUGGUGUAGGCAUUCAAUAGAAUUACAUGCAGCUGUUGAAAAAAGAACUAUAAAUGUGAAUAAUAGCCAUAGAAGUAUAGUUAUACUAAAUGAAAAAAAUUUUUAGACCUGUGUUCUAAUAUAAACCUCAUAAUUGUAAUAUCAAAAAUAAAACUUAAAAUAUGUA